GAUGAGCGCUGGCGGCGUGCCUAAUACAUGCAAGUCGAGCGAAUGGAUUAAGAGCUCGCUCUUAUGAAGUUAGCGGCGGACGGGUGAGUAACACGUGGGUAACCUGCCCAUAAGACUGGGAUAACUCCGGGAAACCGGGGCUAAUACCGGAUAACAUUUUGAACCGCAUGGUUCGAAAUUGAAAGGCGGCUUCGGCUGUCACUUAUGGAUGGACCCGCGUCGCAUUAGCUAGUUGGUGAGGUAACGGCUCACCAAGGCAACGAUGCGUAGCCGACCUGAGAGGGUGAUCGGCCACACUGGGACUGAGACACGGCCCAGACUCCUACGGGAGGCAGCAGUAGGGAAUCUUCCGCAAUGGACGAAAGUCUGACGGAGCAACGCCGCGUGAGUGAUGAAGGCUUUCGGGUCGUAAAACUCUGUUGUUAGGGAAGAACAAGUGCUAGUUGAAUAAGCUGACACCUUGACGGUACCUAACCAGAAAGCCACGGCUAACUACGUGCCAGCCGCCGCGGUAA
rnacentral:rRNA from 1 species